GUUGAUCCUGUUUGUAGCAGAUGCAGAAACUGAGGAACAGAGAAAAUACCUUGCCCAGGAUUAUCCACUGACUACUUGGCCAAAUCCAGUAGGUUUUUGCUCCAUUGAAACCAUCUCGUCAAAGUUAUCAGUGAGCUCCA